rnacentral:tRNA from 1 species
UCCCUGAUAGCUCAGAUGGUAAAGAAUCUGCCUGCAAUGCAGAAGACCUGGGUUCGAUCCCUGGCUUUGGAA